UACAUGGGGUGCAAACGUUGCUCGGAAUUAUUGGGCGUAAAGCGCGCGUAGGCGGUUACUCAAGUCGGAUGUGAAAGCCCUCGGCUUAACUGAGGAAGUGCACUCGAAACUGAGUAGCUAGAGUACUAAAGAGGGUCGCGGAAUUCCCGGUGUAGAGGUGAAAUUCGUAGAUAUCGGGAGGAACACCGGUGGCGAAGGCGGCGACCUGGGUAGAUACUGACGCUGAGGCGCGAAAGCGUGGGGAGCAAACAGG
rnacentral:rRNA from 1 species